rnacentral:misc_RNA from 1 species
GGCAGUCCCAACUCUUCAUUUGCUUCAACCUACCACAUAGAAGGGAUUGAACAACUGUACCUUAGUGCUUAGGAAUGCAACCUACCCCACAAAUCUAGAAAAUGGUGUCAUUUUGCCUUACUGGGUCCAUUCAUCAUAAAAUAAAUCCCUUCCCACAAUCUACGCCUUGAUCUUCCUCAAAUUUCGUGCCUUAUAAAAUUCAAAAAAUCUAACGGCUCUUCUU